rnacentral:lncRNA from 1 species
AUGGUUUCCACCUGCCAGGACUCACCAGCGCCCCCCAAGCCUUCCAAGACUCCAGUCUUCCUGGCAAAUCAGACUCCCUGUGAGGAUGAGGAUGCACUGAAGCCAGAGGCCCCCAGGAAACUGAUGAUCGGGGAUCAGCGACGGCCCCCCUUCCUCUGGACAUGGUGUGUCACGAUCCAGGACAAUGCCCGGAAGCUGACCCAACACCGUGAGCAGCUACGGAAAGGGAAAGAGGCUGCCUUCUCCCUUGGACAGUGUCUCCGGCGCCUCUUUACCCAGGAAGAAACUGCUCGUGCGGUUCAGCGACACAGAGAGGAACUGGUGGAGGCCUGCAAGCUGGCCGACCACCUUGUCCUGCAGCUGCACAUAGCAAACUGUGGAAGCAGGACAGAUGAGGAAGAGAAAGAGCCACUUUACCAAGUGGACGAUCAGAGCAGCGAUUUCAGCUUCCUGAUUCAGGCUCAGGCCCGAGAGCUGACCCAGUUAAGGAAGAAGUUGGAGGCAGGAAGAAAUGUCGCAUUCAUCCUCCAAAGACAUCUCAAAGACCUCAUCACGGAUAAUGACUUUGGUGAAUCCCAAGGGCAGAGCCUCCUACAGCUGGCAGAGUGGCGCAGGCUGGCUGAGCGCCUGACCCUCCAGCUCGGCUCAGAGCACCACUGCGACACGGAGGACGAGGAAGAAACAGAGUCCCUGGACUCCAGGUGACCAGCAUGGUCAGGGCUGUGAGCCAGUGACGGGAGCGGGGG